rnacentral:rRNA from 1 species
GACGAACGCUGGCGGCGUGCCUAAUACAUGCAAGUUGAGCGCUGAAGGUUGUUACUUGUACCAACUGGAUGAGCAGCGAACGGGUGAGUAACGCGUGGGGAAUCUGCCUUUGAGCGGGGGACAACAUUUGGAAACGAAUGCUAAUACCGCAUAAAAACUUUAAACACAAGGUUUAAGUUUGAAAGAUGCAAUUGCAUCACUCAAAGAUGAUCCCGCGUUGUAUUAGCUAGUUGGUGAGGUAAAGGCUCACCAAGGCGAUGAUACAUAGCCGACCUGAGAGGGUGGUCGGCCACAUUGGGACGGAGACCCGGCCCAAACUCCUACGGGAGGCAGCCGUAGGGAAUCUUCGGCAAUGGACGAAAGUCUGACCGAGCAACGCCGAGUGAGUGAAGAAGGAUGUCGGAUCGGAAAACUCUGUUGGUAGAGAAGAAAGUUGGUGAGAGUGGAAAGCUCAUCAAGUGACGGUAACUACACAGAAAGCGACGGCUAACUACGUG